CUUGGUCAUUUAGAGGAAGUAAAAGUCGUAACAAGGUUUCCGUAGGUGAACCUGCGGAAGGAUCAUUAGUGAAUUUUAGGGCGUCUACUUGUAGAGCCUGACCCUCCACUUCUAACACUGUGCAUUAUUCGGUCAUUUGGCGACGUACCUUCGGGUGUCGAGCUGUUUGGCUAAUUUUACCAUUAAACAUUAGUACCAGUAUGUAACGAAAUAUCGAAACAAAAAAAAACUUUCAACAACGGAUCUCUUGGCUCUCGCAUCGAUGAAGAACGCAGCGAAAUGUGAUAAGUAAUGUGAAUUGCAGAAUUCAGUGAAUCAUCGAAUCUUUGAACGCACCUUGCGCUCCCUGGUAUUCCGGGGAGCAUGCCUGUUUGAGUGUCAUGAACUCUUCAACCCACCAGUUUCUAGUAGACUGUGUGAUGUUUGGAUCUUGAGCGCUGCUAGUCUGACUAGCUCGUUCGUAAUAUAUUAGCAUCUCUAAUUCGACUUCGGAUUGACUCAGUGUAAUAGGACUAUUCGCUGAGGACACUUUUAUUAGUGGCCGUAUGAGAACCAGUAGAAGCUUCCAACUACUUAGUCAACUUUGAUUUAGACCUCAGAUCAGGCAGGAUUACCCGCUGAACUUAAGCAUAUCAAUAAGCGGAGGA
rnacentral:rRNA from 1 species